rnacentral:tRNA from 2 species
GUGGCGCUGGAACAGGGCCACGCCCAGGCGCGACUCCAGCUUGCGCACGUGGUGGCUCACGGCGCUGGCGGUGAGGUUCAGUUCCUCGGCGGCGUGC